CUCAAAGAUUAAGCCAUGCAUGUAUAAGUAUAAACGACUUGAUCGUGAAACCGCGAACGGCUCAUUAUAACAGCUAUAAUUUACUUGAUCUUGACAAACCUACUUGGAUAACUGUGGUAAUUCUAGAGCUAAUACAUGCACCAAAGCUCUGACCGUAAGGAAAGAGCGCAUUUAUUAGAACAAAACCAAGCGGCUUCGGCCGUUCAAUGUUGACUCAGAAUAACUAAGCUGAUCGCAUGGUCUUGUACCGGCGACGUGUCUUUCAAGUAUCUGCCUUAUCAACUUUCGAUGGUAGUGUAUCUGACUACCAUGGUUGUGACGGGUAACGGAGGAUAAGGGUUCGACUCCGGAGAAGGGGCCUGAGAAAUGGCCACUACGUCUAAGGAUGGCAGCAGGCGCGCAAAUUACCCACUCUCAGAACGAGGAGGUAGUGACGAGAAAUAACGAGACCGUUCUCUUUUGAGGCCGGUCAUCGGAAUGGGUACAAUUUAAACCCUUUAACGAGUAUCUAUGAGAGGGCAAGUCUGGUGCCAGCAGCCGCGGUAAUUCCAGCUCUCAAAAUGCAUAGAAUUAUUGCUGCGGUUAAAAAGCUCGUAGUUGGAUCUGUGCUGGUCUCCUGGUCCACCUUCGGGUGCGCACUGGUGAGGCUGGCUUUCCUGCUCGCUUCCGGGCUGGUGCCUUUCAUCGGGUGCCAGUCUCCGGGCGGGCAAGUUUACUUUGAACAAAUCAGAGUGCUUCAAACAGGCGUUUCGCUUGAAUGUUCGUGCAUGGAAUAAUAGAAGAGGAUUUCGGUUCUAUUUUAUUGGUUUUAUAGACUGAGAUAAUGGUUAACAGAGACAAACGGGGGCAUCCGUAUUGCUACGUGAGAGGUGAAAUUCUUGGACCGUAGCAAGACGAGCAACAGCGAAAGCAUUUGCCAAGAAUGUCUUCAUUAAUCAAGAACGAAAGUCAGAGGUUCGAAGGCGAUCAGAUACCGUCUUGGACCGUAGCAAGACGAGCAACAGCGAAAGCAUUUGCCAAGAAUGUCUUCAUUAAUCAAGAACGAAAGUCAGAGGUUCGAAGGCGAUCAGAUACCGCCCUAGUUCUGACCGUAAACGAUGCCAGCUAGCGAUCCGCCGGUGGAUUAUUUGCCCUGGUGGGGAGCUUCCCGGAAACGAAAGUCUUCCGGUUCCGGGGGAAGUAUGGUUGCAAAGCUGAAACUUAAAGGAAUUGACGGAAGGGCACCACCAGGAGUGGAGCCUGCGGCUUAAUUUGACUCAACACGGGGAAACUCACCCGGCCAGGACACAAUAAGGAUUGACAGAUUGACAGCUCUUUCUUGAUUUUGUGGGUGGUGGUGCAUGGCCGUUCUUAGUUGGUGGAGCGAUUUGUCUGGUUAAUUCCGAUAACGAACGAGACUCUAGCCUAUUAAAUAGACGAUAUAUCUUUUACGUAUAUCGAGCUUCUUAGAGGGACGAGCAGCUUCUAGCUGCACGAGAUUGAGCAAUAACAGGUCUGUGAUGCCCUUAGAUGUCCGGGGCUGCACGCGCGCUACAAUGAAAAUAGCAGCGCGUGUCGAAAGCCUUUUCUGGAAAGAAUUGGUAAACGCAAAAUAUUUUCGUGAUUGGGAUAGGGGAUUGCAAUUAUUGCCCUUGAACGAGGAAUUCCCAGUAAGUUCGAGUCAUCAGCUCGAGUUGAUUACGUCCCUGCCCUUUGUACACACCGCCCGUCGCUACUACCGAUUGGAAGAUUGAGUGAAAUCUUCGGACCGACGCCGAAACGGAUGUAAAAGUUCGUAUCGCGCAUUGGAAAGAUGAUUAAACCCUGUCUUCUAGAGGAAGUAAAAGUCGUAACAAGGUAGC
rnacentral:rRNA from 1 species